AACGAACGCUGGCGGCAUGCCUAACACAUGCAAGUCGAACGAGACCUUCGGGUCUAGUGGCGCACGGGUGCGUAACGCGUGGGAACCUGCCCUUAGGUUCGGAAUAACUCCCCGAAAGGGGUGCUAAUACCGGAUAAUGUCUUCGGACCAAAGAUUUAUCGCCUUUGGAUGGGCCCGCGUUGGAUUAGCUAGUUGGUAGGGUAAAAGCCUACCAAGGCGAGGAUCCAUAGCUGGUCUGAGAGGAUGAUCAGCCACACUGGGACUGAGACACGGCCCAGACUCCUACGGGAGGCAGCAGUGGGGAAUAUUGGACAAGGGGCGAAAGCCUGAUCCAGCAAUGCCGCGUGAGUGAUGAAGGCCGUAGGGUUGUAAAGCUCUUUUACCCGGGAUGAUAAUGACAGUACCGGGAGAAUAAGCGCCGGCUAACUCCGUG
rnacentral:rRNA from 1 species